CCUACGGGAGGCUGCAGUGGGGAAUAUUGGACAAUGGGGGGAACCCUGAUCCAGCCAUGCCGCGUGUGUGAAGAAGGCCCUCGGGUUGUAAAGCACUUUCAGUGAGGAAGAACGCCUGGUGGUUAAUACCCAUCAGGAAAGACAUCACUCACAGAAGAAGCACCGGCUAACUCCGUGCCAGCAGCCGCGGUAAUACGGAGGGUGUGAGCGUUAAUCGGAAUUACUGGGCGUAAAGCGCGCGUAGGUGGCUUGAUAAGCCGGUUGUGAAAGCCCCGGGCUCAACCUGGGAACGGCAUCCGGAACUGUCAAGCUAGAGUGCAGGAGAGGAAGGUAGAAUUCCCGGUGUAGCGGUGAAAUGCGUAGAGAUCGGGAGGAAUACCAGUGGCGAAGGCGGCCUUCUGGACUGACACUGACACUGAGGUGCGAAAGCGUGGGUAGCAAACAGGAUUAGAUACCCUUGUAGUC
rnacentral:rRNA from 1 species